CCUACGGGGGGCUGUAGUGGGGAAUAUUGGACAAUGGGGGCAACCCUGAUCCAGCCAUGCCGCGUGUGUGAAGAAGGCCCUCGGGUUGUAAAGCACUUUCAGUGAGGAAGAACGCCUGGUGGUUAAUACCCAUCAGGAAAGACAUCACUCACAGAAGAAGCACCGGCUAACUCCGUGCCAGCAGCCGCGGUAAUACGGAGGGUGCGAGCGUUAAUCGGAAUUACUGGGCGUAAAGCGCGCGUAGGUGGCUUGAUAAGCCGGUUGUGAAAGCCCCGGGCUCAACCUGGGAACGGCAUCCGGAACUGUCAAGCUAGAGUGCAGGAGAGGAAGGUAGAAUUCCCGGUGUAGCGGUGAAAUGCGUAGAGAUCGGGAGGAAUACCAGUGGCGAAGGCGGCCUUCUGGACUGACACUGACACUGAGGUGCGAAAGCGUGGGUAGCAAACAGGAUUAGAUACCCGAGUAGUC
rnacentral:rRNA from 1 species